rnacentral:misc_RNA from 1 species
AAGUGGCACGCAAGGAGAAUCUGCGCCGAUGCAUAGAACCAGCUAUCCAGGUGCACACCUACUUGCAUGCAUACGCUAACGUGUAUCUUCGUUCCACCUUAACCGGUUGUCGUUGCUCCCUUCUGCGAAAACGGCCUCUGCAGUCCCCACCAAUGCGCGUGUCAUCUUGGCUCUACCGUGGGCUGCUGCGCCGCACGCCAUUCUACUGUCGCCGUUUUGUGCCCCCGUGGGAGAAGGACGGGAAGACGGCUGAAGAGCUCUUUGGCGGCAUUUUGCAGAGCUCCAACCCAAUCCAAAAGCAGCGCAGGGAAGCGGAGCGUCAGCGACAGCUCGAAGAGGCCGCAGCUGUUGAGGACGCCUUAUCGCCGGAGGAGCAGCGGAGAUUGGAGGCCAUGGAGGCGCACAACGCUGCCGUCGCCGAGGAGCGUCGCAAUUUUCUUCCGUAUGGGGCGACCCCGCACAAAUACUUUGAGACCUCUAACAUGGCCGCCUGGGGUGAGUACACGACCGCCCUUCGAGCCGUGGCGAACCUUAGUGCCUCAUCGCAGUCGCCGUCGAACAGUGAGAACUCAUAUUCGCCAAGCGUCCAGCAUCAGUUGGUGGAGGACAUGGAGAACAAGAUUCCGUACAGGUAUGACGCUUAUGUGGAACCGGCAGCGUCGCCGUCGUCUUCAUCGGCUCACAAAGGUCCGCAAUGGCCGUUGCACGGGUCGGCUGGCUUGGUGCUGGACAUCGACGGCGUUGUGUACCGUAGCCAUCGUCUCAUACCAGGCGCCGACACCGCCAUCCGGAAACUCUCCACGCUGCGCAUUCCAUUUGUGUUCAUGACGAACAGCGGCCACAAAAGCGAAGCCGAUAAGGCUGAGGAGCUUUCUGCGUUGCUGGGCUGUGACAUCAGAGCGAACCAGGUGCUGCUGGCGCACAGCCCGAUGCGCCUGCUCGCGCCGGAGUACGGAGAGGAGCGCGUGCUUGUCGUUGGUGCGCCGCGCUGCGCAAAUAUCGCACGCGAGUACGGAUUUCGGCGGGCCAUCUCUGUACAGCAGUACCAGUGUGAGCACCCGGAGAUGGUGCCAUUCAAGAAGUGGGGUAACCUGAAGCGGGCGGCACCGGGCACUGUGCCGUUUCCUGCCAUCGGUGCCAUUCUGCAGAUGAGUGACCCGGAAGACGCCUUCAACGACAUCCAGACCGUGCUGGAUGUACUCCUCGCACCAGGUGGCCAGGUCGGCCCGUACGUCUCCGGCGCUCAGACGACGCCGUACUUCGCCGCGGCUGACGACUUACUGUGGGCCACAGAGGCACCGCUGCCGCGACUCGGUCAGGGUGCGUUUCGAGAAAUGCUGGCCUCUGUUUACGAGAGCGUCACCGGACAGGGCAUGCAGCUGCAGCAGUAUGGGAAGCCCCGCGCUAUCGCCUACGCGUUUGCCGAGAAGCGCUUGAGGGAAGUGUCCGCUGCGCUAGGGUGGGAUCCGAACCAGUUUCGCUCCAUUUUCAUGAUUGGCGACAACAUCGAGAGCGACAUCGUCGGCGCCAACGCCGCUGGUGGACUGUGGACGAGCGUGCAUGUGCUCUCCGGCAUAGGGCGUGCGCCAGCAGCACGCCGCACGCUGAGUAUUGAUGAUUACGAGCUGGAGUGGAUCGAGUCGUGUGUGCCCAAGACACCGCACUACGUCGCACCUACGCUGGAUCACUUUGUGCGGGAGCUGCUCGCCUUCCCCGAGGCGGCGCUCUUGCAGAGCAAGGCACCGUACCACGGAAAGCCGAACCCGGUUGACCUGCACGGUGCCUACAACUUUCGCGAGUGAGGUGUGCGGCGUACGCGCAUAAAGGCGCGAGUGCCGCAAUCGCAAAUGCAUGCACUUGUGGUGUUGGAGUGCGGCGACGCAGCGCCUGCUUCGACCUUCCACUGCACGUAGUGAAGAAGAGGGAAAAGCACAGUGCGCACAUAAGCAGGUCACCGAUGGCCCCAGCUCAAGAUGAACAUAGUCGCACGCGCGCAUGCCCCCUUGACAUGCCUGACCUUCUCUUAUUUCUCUGUGCAGGAUGCUUUCGAAUGUCUCCUAUGCGUGGGGCCACCUUCGAACGCUUCUCGUCGUGCUCGUCCCUGCGCCCCUCAGGUUUGUACCACAUCCGCCCGCUCUUCAUCUGCCUCGCUUUCUUUCUGCUCCCCUGCCCACGGGGAGAUUCACAG